CAGUCCACAAAUUUCUGUAAGAAUUCCUACAUCUGAGCAUCUCUAUGCAUAUAUUUGAUUUAUCGUUGGAUUUAUUUUAUAAUUAUAUUGUUAUUUAUUUUAUAAGCUGAUAUGACACAUAUGAGGUGUGCAUUUUAUUUAUUAUGAAAAUAUUGAAAUAAUUAAAUUGGAAAGAAUUAAUAUUUUUGAGAAGUUAUGAAAAUAUGUGAUGUGAUUAGAAUUGAAUUAAACAUGUAAAAUUAGACAUGUAAAUUAGGUUGGACUAGCCUUGUCAUGAGAUAGCCUCUACGAGCUUAUGCGUAGGAUAGCUGCCACGAGCUGAUGCGUGGGAUAGCCUCCACGGGCUUACGCGUGCGAUAGCCUCUACGAGCUUAUGCGUAGGAUAGCCUUCACGGGCUUACGCGUGGAAUAGCUGCCACGAGCGUAUGUGUGGGAUUUGUGCAGUCUUGGACUGGAUCAUGAUCUUGGUUAGUCCAAAGCCAGAAGUGAAAAAUUUUAAAACUUGGAAAUCAGAGUAAUACGAAAGUGGAUCACAUAACGUAUAAAAAGGAUUUAUGUAUAUGUACCGGUUAUAUAUAGUUGUUGUUUGUUAAGCUUUUUGAAUGAUGAAAUAGUAUUUAUUUGAUGCUUUGACUAUUUUAUUAUUAUUACUGUGUGUGGCUGUUGGGAUUCUUACUGGGCUGGAAAAGCUCAUAAUACACUUUCUUUUUCAGAGGCACUGGAUUUGUAGAGUCCAUCGGGUGGGCAAGAAGUGAGAUCGAUCUGGAGUCAGACUGCUAGAUAGUUAGAAGUUAGCUUAUCUUUUAUUUAUGGACAUUUGAAAUUGUGUUAUCAAUCAGUACAUUUUAGUUGGUUUGGUUUAAAUACAUUAAUCGUUAAUUUUUGGCAUUUUUUGUGCAUAUUAUACCUUUUUAGGCCUUACAUGAUCUCUAAGGUUUUACUUUAGGGAUUAUGUGGCCGUGUCAUAUGGUCGACCCAAGUGAUGGGUUUGGGGCGUGAAAGUAGUGGUGGCCAUGAUCUCUCACUAGAAAAAUGCAUUCUCCCUUUUAUCUCCAUUAAAAAAGAACUUAACUAAUUAGGGUUUACUUUUAUUUAAGAAGCGGAAAUAGAUAAAGCAUCAGAUGGCUAGGUGGCACUACUCUUGAACAAAAAAAGAGACAAGGACCUAAGAUGAAGUUUUAAAGGAUUAGAGUAAAUAUAGAAAUGCUUAUGGAAAGAAAAAAAGAAAAAAAAAUCAAGGAAUUUAUCAUGGCUAGCAUGUUAGACAUAUGAAAAUUGUAAGAUAUAUGUAUAAUUGGAAACUAUUUUGUUUAUUGCAAUUAUCCCCACUUAAAGUAAGGUUUUGAUAGAGUAACCACUCGAAGAACAAUAAAUCUCUUUAAAAAGAAUAGAAGAGUAGUGGUAAUACUGUUUGCAC
rnacentral:lncRNA from 1 species